GCAUCGGUUUAGCUCAAUGGCUCCUUCGUCCGAUCGGGCAAAAUUACUCCCCGGACCGCCGGCCCGGGUACGACCAUGGGCACUAUCCGAUGUUUUC
ensembl:vault_RNA Vault Vault RNA